UACGUAGGGGGCUAGCGUUGUCCGGAUUUAUUGGGCGUAAAGAGCGUGUAGGCGGCCAGGUAGGUCUGCUGUGAAAACUCGAGGCUCAACCUCGAGACGUCGGCGGAAACCAUCUGGCUAGUCCGGAAGAGGAGAGUGGAAUUCCUGGUGUAGCGGUGAAAUGCGCAGAUAUCAGGAAGAACACCCGUGGCGAAGGCGGCUCUCUGGGACGGUACUGACGCUGAGACGCGAAAGCGUGGGGAGCGAACAGG
rnacentral:rRNA from 1 species